AGAGUUUGAUCCUGGCUCAGGACGAACGCUGGCGGCGUGCUUAACACAUGCAAGUCGAACGGUGAACCUGCUUCGGUGGGGGAUCAGUGGCGAACGGGUGAGUAACACGUGGGCAACCUGCCCCUGGCUCUGGGAUAACUCCAAGAAAUUGGGGCUAAUACCGGAUAUGACCGCUGACCGCAUGGUCUGGUGGUGGAAAGAUUUAUCGGCUGGGGAUGGGCCCGCGGCCUAUCAGCUUGUUGGUGGGGUAGUGGCCUACCAAGGCGACGACGGGUAGCCGGCCUGAGAGGGUGACCGGCCACACUGGGACUGAGACACGGCCCAGACUCCUACGGGAGGCAGCAGUGGGGAAUAUUGCGCAAUGGGCGAAAGCCUGACGCAGCGACGCCGCGUGGGGGGUGACGGCCUUCGGGUUGUAAACCUCUUUCAGCAGGGACGAAGCGGAAGUGACGGUACCUGCAGAAGAAGCACCGGCCAACUACGUGCCAGCAGCCGCGGUAAUACGUAGGGUGCAAGCGUUGUCCGGAAUUAUUGGGCGUAAAGAGCUCGUAGGCGGUUCGUCGCGUCGGCUGUGAAAUCCCGAGGCUCAACCUCGGGUCUGCAGUCGAUACGGGCGGACUUGAGUUCGGCAGGGGAGACUGGAAUUCCUGGUGUAGCGGUGAAAUGCGCAGAUAUCAGGAGGAACACCGGUGGCGAAGGCGGGUCUCUGGGCCGAUACUGACGCUGAGGAGCGAAAGCGUGGGGAGCGAACAGGAUUAGAUACCCUAGUAGUCC
rnacentral:rRNA from 1 species